GCUGCAUGGCUGUCGUCAGCUCGUGUUGUGAAAUGUUGGGUUAAGUCCCGCAACGAGCGCAACCCUUAUCCUUUGUUGCCAGCGGUCCGGCCGGGAACUCAAAGGAGACUGCCAGUGAUAAACUGGAGGAAGGUGGGGAUGACGUCAAGUCAUCAUGGCCCUUACGACCAGGGCUACACACGUGCUACAAUGGCGCAUACAAAGAGAAGCGACCUCGCGAGAGCAAGCGGACCUCAUAAAGUGCGUCGUAGUCCGGAUUGGAGUCUGCAACUCGACUCCAUGAAGUCGGAAUCGCUAGUAAUCGUGGAUCAGAAUGCCACGGUGAAUACGUUCCCGGGCCUUGUACACACCGCCCGUCACACCAUGGGAGUGGGUUGCAAAAGAAGUAGGUAGCUUAACCUUCGGGAGGGCGCUUACCACUUUGUGAUUCAUGACUGGGGUGAAGUCGUAACAAGGUAACCGUAGGGGAACCUGCGGUUGGAUCACC
rnacentral:rRNA from 1 species